CGACGAGGGACCUCGAUGUUCUAACCGCGCGUCGCGCGUGGGGGCAGCACGGCGCCCUGAAGACCCUGUGAAAUCCCCAGCCUGCCCAGGGCCUGGCGCGCACCCGCGUGGACGCGGCGAUCCGGGGGGGUGGGGGUCCCCCUGCCCACGCCUGGCGCCCGCACCCGGAGCCGGGAACCCGCCGCUCACCUUCUCCACCGACUCCCCGCUUCACCGAGCGGUUCAACCGCCGAAGUUUCAGCUCCGCCCCAGAUCCGGCCUUCUCACUUCUGAUUGGCUCGACCUCAGCCGCAGCCGUAUUUCCAUAGGUCAAAAGUGACGCCCGUCACUCUGUCCCGCCCCCGCUGGAGAGCCAGCCUCCCCGAGCUUGCUAUUAGUCUACUGGGGAGAAGCGUUCCUAAGCGGGCGGGGAGACCUCCCCGGCGUCGGUCGUCUCUCUGAUGAUUAUUGGCUAGGCAUCCUGCCAAUCACAGAAAAAGGGUGGGCCCUGGAGUGGGCGGAGGGAGGAUCCCGGAAGUAACAUCUUGACUCCGCCUACCGCGCCCCCUUUCUCCCCCGCCCCGUGUCAGGGCAGGCCGCGCCCACACGGAAGGGCGAGGCGGAACCGAGUGUCGUGCACGCGCGGGGGAAGAUCCUGUUCUCCAAGUCCGAAACCUCCAAAGAUGUUCUCAACUCUUAAGGACAAAUCUAGAUUUUUUUUCCAGCGCUCAGUGUAUGCCUAAGCCUAUCCUGAUCGCUUUGCUAGUGCUUGAGUGCUUUGUUAGUGCGUGAGUCUGGUGUUUGUGAGGCAGAAACUCAAGCAGCCCAAGCUGAUCUCCCCAACACCCUUGGACUCCUGACCGUCCUGCCUCCACCUCCCCGGUCCUGGGACUCCAGGAGGUCUACCACCGCGCCCCGCCCGGCGUGGCGUCGGCUUCAUUAAUUCUCAAACAGCGCAACAAACUGUACUCCCAGGAUCGCUCUCAAGAAAACGGAAAACAAACGGACAAACAUCGACAGGAAUGGUCACAGCAGCGUUAUGUAUUGCAGCCAUGCUAUGUAAACAGCCUGAAUGUGCAUCCAAGGAUGAUCAGCUGGUUCCAGGAGUUCAGUUCAGUGUUUAGCUGUGGGUGUCUGCCUCUGCUUCCAUCAGCC